rnacentral:misc_RNA from 1 species
UAUUUGUUGCAAACCCUUCCAGGAGGAUCACAAUUAAAGAAAUCAAGAGCCAUCAAUGGUUUUUGAAGAACUUGCCUAGGGAACUGACAGAGGCAGCCCAAGCCAUGUACUAUAGGCGAGGAAAUAAUACCUUUUCCUUACAAAGUGAUGAAGAAAUCAUGAAGAUUGUGGAAGAGGCCAAAGUUCCUCCUUCGGUAUCUCGAUCUAUUGGAGGCUUUGGUUGGGGAGGAGAAGAAGAUGGUGAUGGAAAGGAAGAUGACACAGAUGCUGAAGAAGAAGAAGAGGAAGAUGAAUAUGAUAAGAGAGUUAAGGAGGCGCAAGCAAGUGGAGAAUUUCAUGUGAGUUAAAGGAUUAAUUUGCUCCUUCUCAGAUACCAGUGAUCUAAAGUUUUGCCUUUUGAAUAUCUAUAGGAUGCUAUUGUGGUUGUAUAAAACUUUGUACUUAGGGCAUGGUCUUGAAUAAAUGUUUGUAA